GAUGAACGCUGGCGGCGUGCUUAACACAUGCAAGUCGAACGGAAAGGCUCCUGCUUGCAGGGGUACUCGAGUGGCGAACGGGUGAGUAACACGUGGGUGAUCUGCCCUGCACUUCGGGAUAAGCCUGGGAAACUGGGUCUAAUACCGGAUAGGACCACAUUUUGGAUGGUGUGGUGGAGAGUUUUUCGGUGUGGGGUGAGCUCGCGGCCUAUCAGCUUGUUGGUGGGGUAAUGGCCUACCAAGGCGUCGACGGGUAGCCGCCCUGAGAGGGUGUACGGCCACAUUGGGACGGAGAUACGGCCCAGACUCCUACGGGAGGCAGCAGUGGGGAAUAUUGCACAAGGGGCGCAAGCCGGAUGCAGCGACGCCGGGUGGGGGAUGACGGCCUUCGGGUGGUAAACGCCUUUCGCUAGGGACGAAGCGCAAGGGACGGAACCGGGAGAAGAAGCACCAGCGAACUACGG
rnacentral:rRNA from 1 species